CACAGAUCUGUCUGGCUCAAGUGUAGCAGUCGCAGUCUUUUACUAUGUUUGCCUACUUAGCACCACUGAGUGAUGCUUGUUAGGGGCUCCUCCUUUGGGCUGAGGCUGAGUGAGUCCAAAGGUAUCCUGCAAAGAGCAGAGAGAAGAAGGUGAAAUGCAUUGGAAUAUCUUGGGAAUGAUCUCUGGAUGGAGUAUUUUAUAAGGCAAGAGAGCAAAAGGAAAAGAAAUUGACUUAAUGAAAGUA
rnacentral:lncRNA from 1 species